UGAAAGGGGGAUAGAAAUGGGGGAUGACACGCAGCAAAGAGCAGCAAGUCAGAUUCAAACCUGCGCCAUUGCAGGACUCAGCCAAGAUGGGGGAACGCUCUUACUGGGUGAGCUAAUGGCCA